rnacentral:misc_RNA from 1 species
AACAAGGCGUACCUGCGGACCUGCGGAAGGAUCAUUACCGAGUUUACAACUCCCAAACCCCUGUGAACAUACCUAUACGUUGCCUCGGCGGAUCAGCCCGCGCCCUGUAAAAAGGGACGGCCCGCCCGAGGACCCUAAACUCUGUUUUUAGUGGAACUUCUGAGUAAAACAAACAAAUAAAUCAAAACUUUCAACAAUGGAUCU